GGACGGACCUUUAGGACAAAACGGAACACGCGACGACCAAGCUUAGCUCGGGACCUCGCCGGCUAGCGCUUUCUCAUUUAGGCUUCUUUUUGGCUGAGGAGGCAACAACAAUACGUGAUCUGGGUUUUACCUGCGGCAUGCUACUCCGGCCGCCGUAUUUUUGGGAUCGGGAGCCAGCGCGGCGCGGUACCGGUGGCGGUGGUGGAUGUGCGAGGCGGAGUGGGGCGGGGGCGGCGGUGGCGCCGUGGUGCGAGGAGAGGAAGGCGUCGAGGCGGCGGCGCGCCGGCGCUUCCACAGACGAUCGACCCAGGGUCGGCGGCGGCCGUUGAGCCUGCUGCCCGAACCGCCGACCACCGAGGGGCUCGUCGGCCGCCUUUUCCCCUCCCGUCCCAAGCCCUUUCGAUAACACCAGCCUAACCCACGAAGCCGUCGCUAGCGAAACCGACCCUAGUGAACCGCGAGAGGUAGGAGCUCCUUCACAAAUGUCGUUGAAUAGCCACGGGGUAACGUAAUACAAGUUCUCUUCGAAAGUCACGGCCUGAGCUGUCUUUAAGGACUUCUACUACGUUCGCAGUCUCUCGACCCAUGUUAACUACAAAGCUCCCAUUUACAAGUACUCUCCUUACGGUGUAGUGGACUACUAAGUUCGGUUUUGGUGUAUGGUCGACCGCCACAGGCAUAAAGAAAAUGUCAGGGACAUCUAGGGUACGUACUCCUUCGAAACAGGUAUAACUUCUUCGAUGUCUAUUAACUCUUACUACGAUCGAGGCCACUGAAAACAUGAUCCUCCCUUAAACGUUCUACCAAACAAUUUAAUACGAGUUUUAAUCUCUCCUUUUCCUACGUGUCCUAGUAUGGCUUAGAUUAUUGAAGACCAAGUAAGCUUUCACGCAAACUACUACAUCUAAAACUACUGGGCCUAAAGAACAUAUAAGUCAGAAAUCCUCUUAGACCGUAACACGGAUCGUUCGAUAGUUCGAAGAAACCUUGUAGCCGUUUACCGAGAGUUUCACGGUUGUGUUUAAGGUUGAAGGAUGGACUUUCAAUAGACAGUGCAAAACUAGAACAAUUGACCUUUGAUGAUCACCUCAUAGGUAAACGUAGUCUUAAUCUGGUUUUCAGGUCUACGACUCAUUUUUACAAGUAUGAAACCUAAACUCGCGAACCGGUCUACAUUGUCGCAGACAUAAACACCUGAACAAACCGCCACUGGUGUCGUAGCAGUCGUUUCAAAAACCUUUGUGGUCCGCCGAAGUUGUAGUAUUCGGACAUUGUUUUCGUGUUCGCCGACGACGUGACUGGUCACCAUCUUACCUUCUUCAUCAUGCACUACUUGAUUUAUCUGAACUUCGUCUUUUAGUCAGGGCCGAAAGACGAUACCCACUUUACUACCUUCUCAAUUAAUUAUCUCCCCUAUAUUUUGUUAUAACCCUUCAGUUCUAUUUUUUCCUCGUUCUGGCACCCAAACUUCAACUCUUCGUAGAAGUUCUACAAGACGUGCUCGAACGUUUACUCUCCUGCCUAGUUCUUUUCCUUUAACGUCUGAACGAUUUUCUUUUUAGUCGAAAUCUCGCAGUCUUAGUCCUUGAGCAUACAAAUUCCAGUCUUCAACUACCGUACAUACUAUCCGACCGGUGACUCUCAGAUCUCCAGUACCGACUACUUCUUUUAGACCUUUUCAACAGGAGACUAUACUCGUCGUUCGUGGUUCGACAGUGACUUCGAUUUAGUAUAGAACUUCGACUCUUCCUUCGAGAAUGAUACGAUUCCAGGACCCACCUCGUCCUUCGUCGCGCGCACGUACUUGCACGACUCCAUGAACUCUCCCGCCACUCUUCUACCGCUCAGGGACGACUAACUCGGACGUUUGUUUUUAGACCGUAAAAUAAACCACGUUCAGAGCUGAACGACAUUUUUUUAAUACAAGGUACAGCGGUACCGUAGCUGACAGUCAAUGCUCAUAAUGUUCAUGAAGGGAGUGGUCUUGCCUUACAGUUAUAGACGGUCCGGGAAGAAAGGAAGCUACAAAUAAUCACUGAACAAAUACCAACAGAAUACCCUUUAUGGUCAAAAAACAACAAGGUCAAGACCACCGGACCCACCGACGAUGAGUUCUCUUUAAAAACCCCCGAGGUAAAACGCUGCUACACGAGUCGACCCGUUCCUAACGUGCAUAACUGCUUGCAUACGGUAAGAUAAGGGAUACACGCACAAACCAACGGAAGAACUUGUCACGGACGUAAAGUAUGCACAGAACU
rnacentral:rRNA from 1 species